rnacentral:rRNA from 1 species
AUGAAUUAUAUUAUAAAGUCUAACCUGCCCACUGAGUUUUUAAAGGGCUGCGGUAAUUUGACCGUGCAAAGGUAGCAUAAUCAGUAGUCUUUUAAUUGAAGGCUUGUAUGAAUGGUUGAAUGAAAGAGAAGCUGUCUUUUUUACAAGUUAGAAUUUAACUUUUAAGUGAAAAGGCUUAAAUUUAUUAAUGGGACGAUAAGACCCUAUAAAACUUUAUAUGUUAUAUAUUUUAUUUUUGAAUUAUUUUAAAAUAUUGUUUAAUGUUUUACAUAUUUCGUUGGGGAGACGUUGACAUAAAAUGUAACUGUUUAAAUAAAAAAUAUAAUUAUCAUUAUAUUUUGAUCCUUCUUUGUGGAUAAAAAGAAUAAGUUACUUUAGGGAUAACAGCGUAAUUUUUUCUGAGAGUUCUUAUCGAAGAAAGUAGUUGCGACCUCGAUGUUGAAUUAAAGUUUCAAUCAGGUGUAGUCGUCUGGUUAGUAGGUCUGUUCGACCUUUAAAACUUUACAUGAUUUGAGUUCAAACCGGU